rnacentral:lncRNA from 1 species
AUCCGUGUAUUGUAUUAUUUUGUAUUACCGUAUUAUUUUGUGUGAUAAGAAUCACACAAAUAGAAUUUGUAAGAAUUCCUGUAUUUGUAGGGUACAACACUACAGUGUUUCUACAAACAGCGAGUUCUUCCGUGUGUGAAUCCACAUUUUAUGUGUCCCAACAAAUUAAGACAGAAUCUUAUCUUAUCUGAUGCAUCUCAUCAUCGUGAAGUCUGGCAGUUCCAGAAGAAAUAGCGCACAUGUCAAUGAAGCAAAAUGACCUGAAGAAGUGAUGAUGGAGAGCUGUACCCGGUGAUUAAUAUCCGCCCCACAAACCUGUAUCCACUCCUCUCUGUGUUUCCUCCAUUUCUCAUUUAAUUGGAACACAUCCUCCAGUAUUUUCCUGAGAAAAUCCAUGUUUGAAAGAUGAAACACUUCCAUACCUCGGCAACGCUUUGGUCACACUCGACUCCAAGAACCAAGACAUUACCUCAAGACCUCUUGACUUCAACUGUGUAGUUGUGCUGUCAUGCAAAGGACGCUG